rnacentral:rRNA from 1 species
UACGAAGGGGGCUAGCGUUGCUCGGAAUCACUGGGCGUAAAGGGUGCGUAGGCGGGUCUUUAAGUCAGGGGUGAAAUCCCGGAGCUCAACUCCGGAACUGCCUUUGAUACUGGCAAUCUUGAGGCUGGAAGAGGUUGGUAGAAUUCCCAGUGUAGAGGUGAAAUUCGUAGAUAUUGGGAAGAAUACCAGUGGCGAAGGCGGCCAACUGGUCCAGAUCUGACGCUGAGGUGCGAAAGCGUGGGGAGCAAACAGG